AUUGAGGCACUUUUAGACUCGAGGUCGACCAACCAUCAAGGGUAAGACUGUUCAACUCGUAUAAUUUGCAUUUACAUUUAUGCCAUUGAUUUCAAUAUUAAAAUGUUUUCUCAAUAAUAUUUGCCAUAGUUGAACGAGUCAUAUUUUUAUGGGCUAAUUUUUACAAGUCAUGUCUCGUAUAUAACCGUACAAUUCUUUGUAAUGUGUUUCACAAGAUUUUGAUUGGAAUCGGUGAAUUAGAAACUGAAGAAGACAACUACCUGGUUGAGAAACAGCUAUCUUGAAAGCCUUAGUCCGAGAUCUCUGAUCAUUCCCAUCCAUGCAUAAUUUGAUAACUAUCUUUUGCUGGUCCAAUUUAUGAAAUUAUGUCAGAUAAUCACAUCUCAACCAAUACUACAAAAUAAGAAGUAAUACAAAGUACAUAUCGUAGAAUUAAAACUCAGAUUAAUUUUAUAUUUAAGAUUUAAGACAUGCAUACUUUCAUUUUACUAAUCUUGAUUGAGAACUUGGUUUGCAAUAUAACCAGUAGGGAAAUUUUUUGGAGUAUUU
rnacentral:lncRNA from 1 species